CCCACAGGCCGUAAACCCAAGGUUUCCAGGGGAAGGUUCGUCCGCCCUGGGUUAGUCGGGACCUAAGCUGAGGCCGAAAGGCGUAGGUGAUGGACAACAGGUUGAUAUUCCUGUACUACCGAUAACCGUUUGAGAGAAGGGAUGACACAGUAGGAUAAGCUAAGCAAACUGUUGGUUAUGUGUGCCCAAGCAUUGAGGCAGUCAAAGUAGGCAAAUCCGCUUUGAUAAUGCUGGGAUGUGAUGGGGAGCGAAAGUUAGUAGCGAAGUAGCUGAUUUCACACUGUCAAGAAAAGUCUCUAUCGAGGUUAAAGGUACCCGUACCGCAAACCGACACAGGUGGGUGAGGAGAGUAUCCUAAGGCCAGCGAGAGAACUGUUGUUAAGGAACUCGGCAAAAUGACCCCGUAACUUAGGGAUAAGGGGUGCCACCAUCAGGUGGCCGCAGAGAAUAGGCCCAAGCGACUGUUUAC
rnacentral:rRNA from 1 species